rnacentral:lncRNA from 1 species
GGAAAAUAUCGCUUUCAACAAUUCAAGGAGCAGAGCUCCUACUUGUUCAGAGGGGUAAUACUAGUUGAGUAUGUCAUUAAGGUUACCCCAACAAGCAAAGUGUCUGAGACGAGCUCUGUUGACGUCCCAGAGGAGCUUGAGAUGGAAGCUCGGGAACUAAUUUAUCCCGAGAGUCCGGUUUACUCCAUUCAAGAAGCCAAAUUAUCUCCUGACAAGACAGAAGUGAGUGUGGAAGGAGAAGUUACAAAGAUUGAUCCUGUCAUAAAGACUAAGGUGAAGGACAAACGGGAGUCGACAGAGAGGCAACAUUUCCAAUUAAUUAAAUUAAAAUACAACAAGGAUUCCAUAAGAAUGUUCAUGUGGGGGGACGCCACCAAACAAUGCAAAGGAUUAUCAGUUGGAGAUGUCGUUAAGGUUACCAACAUGAAGACCUGUGGUUACGCUCGACUCGUAUCGCUGAACUCAACUGAAUACACCAGAAUUGAAAAGAUGUCUUUGAAGCUUUUAGAGGCAAUGUGGAAAACAGUCCUGAGCUCCAUCCUGGAUGAGCUCAUUGACUCAGAAAUCAGGGAGAUGUUGUUCUAUCUGGACAAAAUCCCUCAAGGAGUGAAGACUGGAAAGGCCAGAGAAGAAAUCCCUGAUUUAAUCAUUCAAUACUACGGGACAGAAGGGUCCAUCUCUGAAAUAGAUAAAAUAAUGAAGAUAAUACCAAGGAAUGACAGUAACGUCCAGAAGCUGCUGCGCCCCUUUGUGGAGAAACUAAAGAAACGCCAGGAAGAAAAAGGUUUGAAGAGUUGAUUUUGUUGAUUAAUUACGGUGUGAGUCUAUAUAUAUAUAUAUAUAUAUACACAGACACAGACACCGGGUCAAGGACAGACAGUUCUAAUGCUUUUCCUUUGCACGGUACAGUACGGCACAGCACGGUUCUACUCAAAUCGACUCACCUCGGCCGAGGCUCCAAGCAGGCUGAGCCGAAUACUAAAAGGGGGACUUAUAACACUACUGAUCCAUCCUGCACAAAUAUCUAAAUAGCCAAGCUACCGCAAUGUUUGUAUUCACUCAACCCAGAAAAAUGGUAACACACAAAACUAUGCUGUACAAUCGACCAAGUACAGCCGCUGAUGAAAAGAUCCAGUGAUGAUGUCACAGCAGUUUCACGCCUCAGCGCUAAGGCGAUCAAUUACAAGAUGAUAUGUGUUACUCAGUAGUUUAACUUACUUCAUUUAUCACUGUCAAAGGGCCUUCUGGAAAGUUGAUGCUUGAACCUUUAGCCAGU